CGGGAAGCUCGGGCCGGCUGUUAGUUCCGCACUGGGUGGUCAGCUGACCCGGCGGAAGCCCGAGGCGCGGGCCGGGCGUCGGAACCUCGGCUCAGCUGUGCGCCCGCCGCCCGCCCUGGGCCGGGCCUCGCACAGGGAAAUGUUAAAUGUGAGGCUGGAAGUCAUCCACGGGGUCAGCUCCUCACACACACCUUUGCCUCGUUUGGAAGUGAGGGGUAGCCACUGCUGCCUCCUGUCUGGGUGAAGUUAGGCCCAGGGCACGGCUAAAUGGAAGCUCAUGCCUGUUCUCAACUGAAAGGACCCUCAUUUUCUCCGAGAUGCAAGCUGAAGAAAUUAAGAUAAACAUCAAGAUGUCUACAGCUUGCAAAUGGUUCAAGGGGAAAAAAG